GCCCAGGGUAGCUAAGUGUAUACAUGGCAUCUGCCCGGUAAACGGAACAAUGUGGGUUCGAUUCCCAUCCCUGGACA